rnacentral:rRNA from 1 species
AGAGAUGUGUGAUGACGCAUAUCAAUAAGCGGAGGAAAAGAAACUAACAAGGAUUCCCUUAGUAACGGCGAGUGAAGCGGGAAGAGCUCGAAUUUGAAAUCUUCAAGGUUCUACCUUGACGAAUUGUAGUUUAUAGAAGUGUUUUCUGUUAGUGGAGUGGCAAAAGUUCUUUGGAAUAGGACAUCAUAGAGGGUGAGAAUCCCGUAUUUGGUCAUUCCUCCUAGCGUUGUGAUACACUUUCAACGAGUCGGAUUGUUUGGGAAUGCAGUCCAAAAUGGGUGGUAAAUUUCAUCUAAAGCUAAAUAUUGGCGAGAGACCGAUAGCGAACAAGUACCGUGAGGGAAAGAUGAAAAGAACUUUGAAAAGAGAGUUAAACAGUACGUGAAAUUGUCAAAAGGGAAGCGUUUGACACCAGUGUUGUUUUUCCGAAAAUCAAUUACGAAUGUUUUGUUUUUGAGGAGUUAUGACUUCAUCGGCUUGCUCCUUUCUUUACGAAGCUUUCUUAAUGCACUUUUCGGUUAACAAGUCAACAUCAAUUUCUUUUGUUGUAAAAGGGUAUGAGGAAGGUGGCUUUCUUUUCGGAGAAAGUGUUUAUAGCCUUGUGCCUCUGCAAUCGGAGAGAUUGAGGUCUGCAGCGUAGAUCCUUCGGGGUUAGAUACGUUGGUGCUAAGUUAUAGCUUUUCAUAGACAACUUGUUGACUAUGUUUAGUCUUGUAGCUUACUCGCUGACGCUAUUUUACCUACGCUUAGGAUGUUGAGUAGCGACAUACGCAC